rnacentral:rRNA from 1 species
CUACGUGCCAGCAGCCGCGGUAAUACGUAGGUCCCGAGCGUUGUCCGGAUUUAUUGGGCGUAAAGCGAGCGCAGGCGGUUAGAUAAGUCUGAAGUGAAAGGCAGUGGCUCAACCAUUGUAGGCUUUGGAAACUGUUUAACUUGAGUGCAGAAGGGGAGAGUGGAAUUCCAUGUGUAGCGGUGAAAUGCGUAGAUAUAUGGAGGAACACCGGUGGCGAAAGCGGCUCUCUGGUCUGUAACUGACGCUGAGGCUCGAAAGCGUGGGGAGCGAACAGGAUUAGAUACCCUGGUAGUCCACGCCGUAAACGAUGAGUGCUAGGUGUUAGACCCUUUCCGGGGUUUAGUGCCGCAGCUAACGCAUUAAGCACUCCGCCUGGGGAAUACGACCGCAAGGUUGAAACUCAAAGGAAUUGACGGGGGCCCGCACAAGCGGUGGAGCAUGUGGUUUAAUUCGAAGCAACGCGAAGAACCUUACCAGGUCUUGACAUCCCUCUGACCGCUCUAGAGAUAGAGUUUUC